AGCGAACGCUGGCGGCAGGCUUAACACAUGCAAGUCGAGCGGGCCCUUCGGGGUCAGCGGCAGACGGGUGAGUAACGCGUGGGAACGUGCCCUUCGGUUCGGAAUAACUCAGGGAAACUUGAGCUAAUACCGGAUACGCCCUUAUGGGGAAAGGCUUGCUGCCGAAGGAUCGGCCCGCGUCUGAUUAGCUAGUUGGUGAGGUUAUGGCUCACCAAGGCGACGAUCAGUAGCUGGUCUGAGAGGAUGAUCAGCCACACUGGGACUGAGACACGGCCCAGACUCCUACGGGAGGCAGCAGUGGGGAAUAUUGGACAAUGGGGGCAACCCUGAUCCAGCCAUGCCGCGUGAGUGAUGACGGCCUUAGGGUUGUAAAGCUCUUUUCUCCGGGACGAUAAUGACGGUACCGGGGGAAUAAGCCCCGGCUAACUUCGUG
rnacentral:rRNA from 1 species